rnacentral:rRNA from 1 species
GACGUAGGGCGCGAGCGUUUGUCCGGAUUUAUUGGGCGUAAAGAGCUCGUAGGCGGCUCGUUGCGUCGGCUGUGAAAACCCGCGGCUCGAACCGUGGGCUUGCAGCUGAUACGGGCGGGCGUGGAGUACGGUAGGGGCAGAGGGAAUUUCCGGUGGAGCGGUGAAAUGCGUAGAGAUCGGAAAGAACACCAAUGGCGAAAGCACUCUGCUGGGCCGACACUGACACUGGAGAGACGAAAGCUAGGGGAGCAAAUGGG